rnacentral:rRNA from 1 species
AAACCAAGAGGACUAAGCCAUACGUUCUCGGUCAAAAGAUAGUUAGGUAAUUUUGAGUAGUUUAUUUAAUUGCUAUUGAGAGGUAGAAUUCGCAAAUAGUCUAGAGAUCUAAUAGUAACUAAUACACUGAAGCUAUGAUAGCCCUGAGGGAAACUGGGAUUAGAUACCCCACUAUUCUUGGAGGUAAAAAAUACAGAUCUACCAGAGUACUACGAAUUAGGUCCAUUUGAAACUCAAAGAGCUUGGCGGUGUUUUAGACUUUUCAGGGGAACCUGUCUCAUAACCGACAAUCCACGAGAUACCUUACCUUUAUUUGCUUUCAAUUUGUAUACCGUCGUCGACAGGUAACUUUUUAGAAAAAAGAAGUUAGCAAGAGGAUCAGGAAAUAAAUCCUUACGUCAGAUCAAGGUGCAGUCAACAUAAAGGAGAGGAUGGGUUACAAUUAUUAAAAUUAUAAAUACGGAAUAGUGCUUUGAAAUAUAACUAUGAAGGAGGACUUGAAAGUAAAUUAGAUUAGAUAAAUAUCUUGAAUUAAGCUCUGAAACGUGC